rnacentral:rRNA from 1 species
AUUGAACGCUGGCGGCAUGCCUUACACAUGCAAGUCGAACGGCAGCGGGGGAGAAGCUUGCUUUUCCUGCCGGCGAGUGGCGAACGGGUGAGUAAUACAUCGGAACGUGCCCUGUAGUGGGGGAUAACUAGUCGAAAGAUUAGCUAAUACCGCAUACGACCUGAGGGUGAAAGCGGGGGACCGCAAGGCCCCAUGCUAUAGGAGCGGCCGAUGUCUGAUUAGCUAGUUGGUGGGGUAAAGGCCUACCAAGGCGACGAUCAGUAGCUGGUCUGAGAGGACGAUCAGCCACACUGGGACUGAGACACGGCCCAGACUCCUACGGGAGGCAGCAGUGGGGAAUUUUGGACAAUGGGCGAAAGCCUGAUCCAGCAAUGCCGCGUGUGUGAAGAAGGCCUUCGGGUUGUAAAGCACUUUUGUCCGGAAAGAAAUGGCUCUGGUUAAUACCUGGGGUCGAUGACGGUACCGGAAGAAUAAGGACCGGCUAACUACGUGCCAGCAGCCGCAGUAA